GGGUUGUGAGGUUAAGCGACUAAGCGUACACGGUGGAUGCCCUGGCAGUCAGAGGCGAUGAAGGACGUGCUAAUCUGCGAAAAGCGUCGGUAAGGUGAUAUGAACCGUUAUAACCGGCGAUGUCCGAAUGGGGAAACCCAGUGCAAUUCGUUGCACUAUCGUUAACUGAAUACAUAGGUUAACGAGGCGAACCGGGGGAACUGAAACAUCUAAGUACCCCGAGGAAAAGAAAUCAACCGAGAUUCCCCCAGUAGCGGCGAGCGAACGGGGAGCAGCCCAGAGUCUGAAUCAGCUUGUGUGUUAGUGGAACGGUCUGGAAAGUCCGACGGUACAGGGUGAUAGUCCCGUACACCAAAAUGCACAGGUUGUGAACUCGAAGAGUAGGGCGGGACACGUGGUAUCCUGUCUGAAUAUGGGGGGACCAUCCUCCAAGGCUAAAUACUCCUGACUGACCGAUAGUGAACCAGUACCGUGAGGGAAAGGCGAAAAGAACCCCGGCGAGGGGAGUGAAAAAGAACCUGAAACCGUGUACGUACAAGCAGUGGGAGCACCUUCGGGUGUGACUGCGUACCUUUUGUAUAAUGGGUCAGCGACUUAUAUUCUGUAGCAAGGUUAACCGUAUAGGGGAGCCGCAGGGAAACCGAGUCUUAACUGGGCGUUAAGUUGCAGGGUAUAGACCCGAAACCCGGUGAUCUAGCCAUGGGCAGGUUGAAGGUUGGGUAACACUAACUGGAGGACCGAACCGACUAAUGUUGAAAAAUUAGCGGAUGACUUGUGGCUGGGGGUGAAAGGCCAAUCAAACCGGGAGAUAGCUGGUUCUCCCCGAAAGCUAUUUAGGUAGCGCCUCGUGAAUUCAUCUUCGGGGGUAGAGCACUGUUUCGGCUAGGGGGUCAUCCCGACUUACCAACCCGAUGCAAACUACGAAUACCGAAGAAUGUUAUCACGGGAGACACACGGCGGGUGCUAACGUCCGUCGUGAAGAGGGAAACAACCCAGACCGCCAGCUAAGGUCCCAAAGUCAUGGUUAAGUGGGAAACGAUGUGGGAAGGCACAGACAGCCAGGAUGUUGGCUUAGAAGCAGCCAUCAUUUAAAGAAAGCGUAAUAGCUCACUGGUCGAGUCGGCCUGCGCGGAAGAUGUAACGGGGCUAAACCAUGCACCGAAGCUGCGGCAGCGACACUAUGUGUUGUUGGGUAGGGGAGCGUUCUGUAAGCCUGCGAAGGUGUGCUGUGAGGCAUGCUGGAGGUAUCAGAAGUGCGAAUGCUGACAUAAGUAACGAUAAAGCGGGUGAAAAGCCCGCUCGCCGGAAGACCAAGGGUUCCUGUCCAACGUUAAUCGGGGCAGGGUGAGUCGACCCCUAAGGCGAGGCCGAAAGGCGUAGUCGAUGGGAAACAGGUUAAUAUUCCUGUACUUGGUGUUACUGCGAAGGGGGGACGGAGAAGGCUAUGUUAGCCGGGCGACGGUUGUCCCGGUUUAAGCAUGUAGGCUGGUUGUCCAGGCAAAUCCGGAUAAUCAAGGCUGAGGUGUGAUGACGAGGCACUACGGUGCUGAAGUAACAAAUGCCCUGCUUCCAGGAAAAGCCUCUAAGCAUCAGGUAACAUCAAAUCGUACCCCAAACCGACACAGGUGGUCAGGUAGAGAAUACCAAGGCGCUUGAGAGAACUCGGGUGAAGGAACUAGGCAAAAUGGUGCCGUAACUUCGGGAGAAGGCACGCUGGUGUGUAGGUGAAGUCCCUGCGGAUGGAGCUGAGACCAGUCGAAGAUACCAGCUGGCUGCAACUGUUUAUUAAAAACACAGCACUGUGCAAACACGAAAGUGGACGUAUACGGUGUGACGCCUGCCCGGUGCCGGAAGGUUAAUUGAUGGGGUUAUCCGUAAGGAGAAGCUCUUGAUCGAAGCCCCGGUAAACGGCGGCCGUAACUAUAACGGUCCUAAGGUAGCGAAAUUCCUUGUCGGGUAAGUUCCGACCUGCACGAAUGGCGUAAUGAUGGCCAGGCUGUCUCCACCCGAGACUCAGUGAAAUUGAACUCGCUGUGAAGAUGCAGUGUACCCGCGGCAAGACGGAAAGACCCCGUGAACCUUUACUAUAGCUUGACACUGAACAUUGAGCCUUGAUGUGUAGGAUAGGUGGGAGGCUUUGAAGCGUGGACGCCAGUCUGCGUGGAGCCAACCUUGAAAUACCACCCUUUAAUGUUUGAUGUUCUAACGUUGGCCCCUGACCGGGGUUGCGGACAGUGUCUGGUGGGUAGUUUGACUGGGGCGGUCUCCUCCCAAAGCGUAACGGAGGAGCACGAAGGUUAGCUAAUCCUGGUCGGACAUCAGGAGGUUAGUGCAAUGGCAUAAGCUAGCUUGACUGCGAGCGUGACGGCGCGAGCAGGUGCGAAAGCAGGUCAUAGUGAUCCGGUGGUUCUGAAUGGAAGGGCCAUCGCUCAACGGAUAAAAGGUACUCCGGGGAUAACAGGCUGAUACCGCCCAAGAGUUCAUAUCGACGGCGGUGUUUGGCACCUCGAUGUCGGCUCAUCACAUCCUGGGGCUGAAGUAGGUCCCAAGGGUAUGGCUGUUCGCCAUUUAAAGUGGUACGCGAGCUGGGUUUAGAACGUCGUGAGACAGUUCGGUCCCUAUCUGCCGUGGGCGCUGGAGAAUUGAGGGGGGCUGCUCCUAGUACGAGAGGACCGGAGUGGACGCAUCACUGGUGUUCGGGUUGUCAUGCCAAUGGCACUGCCCGGUAGCUAAAUGCGGAAGAGAUAAGUGCUGAAAGCAUCUAAGCACGAAACUUGCCCCGAGAUGAGUUCUCCCUGAGACUUUAAGUCUCCUGAAGGAACGUUGAAGACGACGACGUUGAUAGGCCGGGUGUGUAAGCGCAGCGAUGCGUUGAGCUAACCGGUACUAAUGAACCGUGAGGCUUAACCUUACAACGCCGAAG
rnacentral:rRNA from 2 species